UUAAGCGACUAAGCGUACACGGUGGAUGCCCUGGCAGUCAGAGGCGAUGAAGGGCGUGCUAAUCUGCGAUAAGCGCCGGUAAGGUGAUAUGAACCGUUAUAACCGGCGAUACCCGAAUGGGGAAACCCAGUGUGAUUCGUCACACUAUCAUUAACUGAAUCCAUAGGUUAAUGAGGCGAACCGGGGGAACUGAAACAUCUAAGUACCCCGAGGAAAAGAAAUCAACCGAGAUUCCCCCAGUAGCGGCGAGCGAACGGGGAGGAGCCCAGAGCCUGAAUCAGCAUGUGUGUUAGUGGAAGCGUCUGGAAAGGCGCGCGAUACAGGGUGACAGCCCCGUACACAAAAGCGCAUGUGCUGUGAGCUCGAUGAGUAGGGCGGGACACGUGGUAUCCUGUCUGAAUAUGGGGGGACCAUCCUCCAAGGCUAAAUACUCCUGACUGACCGAUAGUGAACCAGUACCGUGAGGGAAAGGCGAAAAGAACCCCGGCGAGGGGAGUGAAAAAGAACCUGAAACCGUGUACGUACAAGCAGUGGGAGCCCCACCACCAAAGCNGCUUUGGGGUGGGGUGACUGCGUACCUUUUGUAUAAUGGGUCAGCGACUUAUAUUCUGUAGCAAGGUUAACCGAAUAGGGGAGCCGGAGGGAAACCGAGUCUUAAUUGGGCGUUAAGUUGCAGGGUAUAGACCCGAAACCCGGUGAUCUAGCCAUGGGCAGGUUGAAGGUUGGGUAACACUAACUGGAGGACCGAACCGACUAAUGUUGAAAAAUUAGCGGAUGACCUGUGGCUGGGGGUGAAAGGCCAAUCAAACCGGGAGAUAGCUGGUUCUCCCCGAAAGCUAUUUAGGUAGCGCCUCGUGAAUUCAUCUCCGGGGGUAGAGCACUGUUUCGGCUAGGGGGCCAUCCCGGCUUACCAACCCGAUGCAAACUGCGAAUACCGGAGAAUGUUAUCACGGGAGACACACGGCGGGUGCUAACGUCCGUCGUGAAGAGGGAAACAACCCAGACCGCCAGCUAAGGUCCCAAAGUCAUGGUUAAGUGGGAAACGAUGUGGGAAGGCCCAGACAGCCAGGAUGUUGGCUUAGAAGCAGCCAUCAUUUAAAGAAAGCGUAAUAGCUCACUGGUCGAGUCGGCCUGCGCGGAAGAUGUAACGGGGCUAAACCAUGCACCGAAGCUGCGGCAGCGACGCUUAUGCGUUGUUGGGUAGGGGAGCGUUCUGUAAGCCUGUGAAGGUGGCCUGUGAGGGUUGCUGGAGGUAUCAGAAGUGCGAAUGCUGACAUAAGUAACGAUAAAGCGGGUGAAAAGCCCGCUCGCCGGAAGACCAAGGGUUCCUGUCCAACGUUAAUCGGGGCAGGGUGAGUCGACCCCUAAGGCGAGGCCGAAAGGCGUAGUCGAUGGGAAACGGGUUAAUAUUCCCGUACUUGGUGUUACUGCGAAGGGGGGACGGAGAAGGCUAUGUUGGCCGGGCGACGGUUGUCCCGGUUUAAGCGUGUAGGUGUGUGUUCCAGGUAAAUCCGGUUCACUUUAACACUGAGGCGUGACGACGAGGCACUACGGUGCUGAAGCAACAAAUGCCCUGCUUCCAGGAAAAGCCUCUAAGCAUCAGGUAACAUCAAAUCGUACCCCAAACCGACACAGGUGGUCAGGUAGAGAAUACCAAGGCGCUUGAGAGAACUCGGGUGAAGGAACUAGGCAAAAUGGUGCCGUAACUUCGGGAGAAGGCACGCUGACACGUAGGUGAAGUGAUUUACUCAUGGAGCUGAAGUCAGUCGAAGAUACCAGCUGGCUGCAACUGUUUAUUAAAAACACAGCACUGUGCAAACACGAAAGUGGACGUAUACGGUGUGACGCCUGCCCGGUGCCGGAAGGUUAAUUGAUGGGGUCAGCGCAAGCGAAGCUCCUGAUCGAAGCCCCGGUAAACGGCGGCCGUAACUAUAACGGUCCUAAGGUAGCGAAAUUCCUUGUCGGGUAAGUUCCGACCUGCACGAAUGGCGUAAUGAUGGCCAGGCUGUCUCCACCCGAGACUCAGUGAAAUUGAACUCGCUGUGAAGAUGCAGUGUACCCGCGGCAAGACGGAAAGACCCCGUGAACCUUUACUAUAGCUUGACACUGAACAUUGAGCCUUGAUGUGUAGGAUAGGUGGGAGGCUUUGAAGCGUGGACGCCAGUCUGCGUGGAGCCGACCUUGAAAUACCACCCUUUAAUGUUUGAUGUUCUAACGUGGACCCGU
rnacentral:rRNA from 1 species